AAUCAACGCUGGCGGCGUGCCUCAGACAUGCAAGUCGAACGCGAAAUUCCCUUUCGGGGGGAGAGUAGAGUGGCGCACGGGUGAGUAACACGUAGGUAAUCUAACUCUGGGUGGGGAAUAACAGCCGGAAACGGCUGCUAAUACCGCAUAAUGCAGCGGCACCAUAUGGUGACAGUUGUUAAAGCGGGGGAUCCUGAAAGGGACCUCGCGCCUGAAGAGGAGCCUGCGGCAGAUUAGCUAGUUGGUAAGUAAUGGCUUACCAAGGCGACGAUCUGUAGCCGGCCUGAGAGGGCGGUCGGCCACACUGACACUGACAUACGGGUCAGACUCCGUACGGG
rnacentral:rRNA from 1 species